AUGCAGUUCAUGCUGCAAACCGGCGCGCACACAGCCUCAGCUCUGGGCCGGCCCAUUUCACAUUUUGUUCGCUGUUUAAAUAAAUGCACUAACCAAUUCAACAACUUAUCUCUUGUGCAUAACUGCUUUCUAACUUUAGCUCCCGUGAACCUCUCAAAAAAAAACUUAGCUCAUGUGAGUAUUUUUUUUGUCGUAUCUUUUUUUUCAGUUUUCUUUUUUCUUUUCUUAAAGGAAAAUGAUUGGGAUCACCCCGUGAAAAAUGAUGCGCGUGUCCGCCGCCUCUGUGGCCGUUGGAUCUGA
rnacentral:rRNA from 1 species